CUUCAGACACCUCGAUUGCAUUCAAGUUUUCAUAUGUUGCCAGAUCAAAACAAACCUCAUUUCAUCCACCAAAGGAGAAAACAUCUCCACUAAUGUCAGGAUUUUUGCGAUAAACCUUUAUGCCCCAAGGCACAAACCGUAUUUGAUAUCUUACGGUUAUACUAUCGCAUAAUAAUUUAUUUGUACCCCACUGACAUUAUACCUUGAUUUAUGGACUACCAGUCCAAAAUGUCACUUUUCUAAGUGAAACAAAAUAUACUUGAAUUGUGCAUUUUACUUGGCCAACCAUUUAUCUAUUCACACUAUAUGACAGAUUUGAAUUCAAGAUCCUCAUCACAAUUUAUAUCAUUGAGUGCUACCUCAUAUCAAAGAUACCAUUGACGGUUAUUUGAUAUCGAUUCCAACAAGACAUAACUUAUCGAGAUCUCUUCAUUUUUCAUUAUUUCAGGUACCUGAACCUUUUUCAAGAUUUUAUGAAGUGUUAUGUCAAUGUGCUCUUUUAUAGCACUUGCCUCAUUAUCAUGACCAUAUUGAUCAUUUGCUCCUUCCUUCUUCAAGGAAUUUUAUAUUUGGAAUCGAUUGGUCUAUUACGCUUCCAGCGUAUCAUAGACUCUGUCCUUCAAGGACUUCACAUUGGAGCAUUUGCAGCUGAAUUAUAUCAUAGGGUCAGUGCAUUCAUCUGGCAACUGAUUUGCAACAUUAUGCAACUGAAUUAUCCCUUGAACUUUAAGUUCACAUAUUUAUUUUAACGAGGAUCUAGAUAAUUCAUAAUUAACCUCACACAUAAUUUUCAGCUGUCAAUCAUCUCUCCUCCUAAUGUUAGAAAAUCUAACAUUCAUUCCAACCUUAUUUGGAAGUUCAUCUUUGUGCGUGGUGGAGCAAUUAAAAUCAUAAUCGCACAUUCAACAUUUUAGAUGAAAAUUAUAUGGUUCCUGACCCUGAACCAAUUUUAAUGGGGAAACCUUGUUGGUUUGAUGCAUACAUGUGUUGAUACAUGUUAAACAAAAUUAUCUCAUACCAAAUCUUAUUUGGGAGUUUUGUUCUCAUAACCAUGAUUUAGCUAUAAUAGGAGGCAUACAAUUUCUGCUAAAUCAACCAGCAUUAUCAAUAUAAUUUCAUAAUUUGGAACUAUGCUAUUAAUUUUAACAAUUCGAGCAAACAACCUUACAAAAACCAAUUUGUAAGUUGACAACAAAAUACAUGUGACCAUCGCAUAGAUGCAUUAAUCAUAUAGUUGCAAAUGAUCCACAUGACAGGUGAACAGGCCCAUAUUCACCCUUUUAUAUGUUCCAAAUUUUUUUUUAGGGGAUUACAGUCCCGACCUUAGCUGGUACAAUGAUCAUUUUAUCAAGAGAACAAGCAACACAAGAGAAUUCUUGAAGAAUCUUUAUUUCUUCAUCAUAUAAAUCACCUGAAUUCGCAAUCACGUUUGCAUUACAUUUAAUCGGAAUGGUCAACCAGUCAUGCCAACUGAUCUUUAUUUUAGUACACUUAUAAUUUACUUUUACAUGUGAUUUCAUCAGCAUGUACAUGUUUGUAUGGAACAAACAGGAGGAAAAGUGGGGUAAUCUUUUACAUAAACAUUAUAACCCUCUUCGGUUGUAGUAAUUUAUAGUCUCAAUAUUUAUUUUCAUUCAUCCGAAACUUAAAAAGUUUCUUUUGAGACUUACUACAACCCCAAUAUUAUUCCUCUGAUAAUAGCACAACUCGUUAGAGCUUGCAAUUAAUUUUGUGUACUAUGACAUAUUGCAUGACACCAUCCCUAUGGUGAGCAUCUCCUUCAAGGAGGAAAUUAUAUUAUUAUUGUCAUGGUCAAAAUCAUUACGAGCAAGACGUCUUUCUUGCUUUACUUUUGUUGUACCAUAGGUACACAACCAAUGACAAAUUUGUAUUGCCACCAUAUAAUGACCACAACCCUUAUAGGCAAGAACUAUUUCUUUCUUUUGCCCUUUCGAUAGUUUAUAUCAUAGUGACGUAUAAAACGUACAAUACAAUUAGCCAUUUCUACCAAAUAAAAUUUAUUUCCUCUCAAAUCUCCCGUAGAGAUGAGAAGUGACAUGUAUCAUUUUUUUUCUCAAACCUUCUAUAGAGGUGAGUUGUGACAUAUAUCCAACCCAUAAUGAUUUUAUCACAUCUGGACCCAUUCUCUUAUAGAAUGGUCGAGCAUUCACGAUACUCAUUACAAGUCACAUUCUCUUCAAGGAUUGGACUAAUUAUUUAUAUGUACUUUAUAAAUUUGCAUUAUAAGCACAUUGUCAUGGCUUUAAAAUUCAUCAUAUUUCCAUGACACACCUCAACAUCACUUUGAAAGAUUAAGUGUACCAUCACUUUAUCUUCUUGUAUCAUGAUAGAAGAUUUAUAAAUUUGUCAAAUUAUUGGGUUGACAACAUUCACAAGUCUAAUGACCUUUCAUACCAUUUUGAUAAUAAAAAUUGCCUUCACAUUUUGAAGGACUAUUUGGAGAAGCCAUAGUGUUCUUCCUUUUAUAAUUACCAUAAUGAUGACUAUUAUAAUUCCGUCCCUUCAUGUCCUUUUUCAUAUCGCUAAUCAUUUGUCAUCUUUCAGACUAAUUAUUUACUGCUACCACAUUCAUACGAUAGAAUGGAGCAAGUCAGCAUCGGAUUUCAAAGUUAUCAUAUGUUGCUACCACAUUCUUUUCAAGGAAUGGAGCAAGUUCAAUAUGACAAAUUUCAAGGCUUUUCAUAAAAACCUUAGUCAUCAUUGUUUCAUCACUAUGGUGCAUUGACUCAAACUCAAUGUCUUAUCCAUACAAGGCGUGUUAGGCCAAAUUCUAAAAGACUUGAACUCAAUCCUUAUCAUCAUGGUGCAUCAAAACUCAGAUUUGAUGUCUUAUCCUCUUGGUGCGAUAGAUUUUAAAUCUAUCGUCUUAUCCUCAAAUAUUUUUCAUUAUAGUGCAUCCGGACUUUAACCUGAUGUCUUACCCUUUUGGUGCGAUGAAACUUGAAUCCAUCGUCUUACCCUUAACCAACGGUAUAAUAGACCAAAGUACAAUAUGACUCACCCUUUGAGUCUUUCAAAACAAUCAAAAUAAUAUUUAAACUCAUGCUAUUAAAAUUUUAUACCUUUUUCUAUUUAAGAAAUUUUGUAUAGCAUGUCAUAUUCAACCAAUAGUAGUAUAUGUCUUCGGUUCCUGAUAAUUGUUAGUGACUGAACACUAUUUUAUUCUAAAUCAUAAAAUAUUUUAGAAAAUACAUACCUGAUUUUAUGCAUACAAUACUUUGAUCUUCAUAACGAGAUCAACCAAAAUAUGAGCUAAAGAAAAACAAGAACUCACUCUCAAUUAGAUAGAGACUCGUGCUGAUAACGUGUUAUAAAAUCAAGCUCAUGACAAUAUAAAUAUAAAGAGAUGAAGACAAGAGAAGUAAAAUGGAAGAUAAGACUUUCUUCUUAUUCAAGUGUAUUCAAGUCUCAUAUGUAUAUCUUACAAUAGUGAAUGAACAACCCUAUUUAUAGAGUGAGAAAUCACUCCAAAGGUCACCAUAUUAAGUAUCAUAAUAAAUAGAUACAUUCUUAUCUAAAAAGGUUCAUGUAACCUAGUGAAUAUGAAUAGUUGUUCAUGUACCGACCUUAUGGACUAUCCACUUAUUCAAUGAAUUUAUAACAGAAAUGAAUUUUUAUUUUUAUUUGUUACUUUUUGAAUUUUGAGUAUCAAAAAAAUAUAAAUUAUUUUUUGAAAAAAUGACAGAAAUUUUAACUUCUAAGUUUUCUUAUAAUCAUUAUUUCUUAUUAGUUUUAUAAAUUUGCAAAUCUUUCAUUUUUGUGCAUUAAAUUAAUGCAUCAGAUUAAUGUAUCUCGCACAUCAAAUUGGUGUAUCAUGUAUAAAAUGUAAUCUAUCUUAUUCAACUAUUAAUGUAUGUUGCGCAUUAGGCGAAUUGAGUGUUUUUCAAAAAAUAUAUUUAGUUGAGAUCAAUAAACAUAUUCUCUCCUUUGAAAAGAGAUAUUCCAAUAACAUUAUAUGAAGACAAUGCCUUGUGUGCUCAACUAAGAGGAGGAUACAUUAAAGAAGACUGAGCAAAAUAUAUUUCAUCAAAGUUUUUUUUAUUCAUGAUAUUCAAAAUAAGAAUGUAACGAUGUUUAACACUUCGUAUUCACCAAGGCAUUAUGAACUUCAACCUUUGAGAAGUCGAGAUAUAAGAUUGCAAUGCAUUAUCAUCAAGUUGUUAAGUGAUUUUUUAAUUAUAUGGGUUUAAUGCGCGCUGCACUAGUUGAUAUUUUGUCCCACUGGAUUAUCCUGGUAAGGUUUUUAAUAAGAUAGCAAUCAAUGCGUAUUACAACUUACAAAAUGUGUAAACUCUUUUUCUAUCACUAAAAUUUUUCUCAUUAAAUUUUAACAAGACACAUUAUCUGUUUAGACAUAAACAUCCAAGAAUUUAGUGUUGUAAAUUAUGUAACGACGGAUGCCCAUGAACCAUAAUUUAUACGUAGUUAUUAUAUGCAACUAAUGAGGCCAACACACUAUAUUAUAUUUGUAUGACCAAGUAAUUUGAUAUUAUGAUGAGGCUUAUAAAUUGCCUAUUAGUUACUCAUCUUAAUUAUGAGAAAAACAUCAAAUGUAAAAGACAAAGUUACUUGUACUAUUUGGUGUAUCUCUCUUUCUCUCCUCUCUUUUUGUCAUUUUACGAUAUCUCUAACUCAAACACUAAAUUUUAUAUUAAAUUUGGUGUUUUAUAUUAAAAGAAAAUCUUUCUCUCUCUUUUCAUUAUUAUAUUAUUGUUUCUUAUUUCAUUUAUAUUUUCUUAUUUCAUAAAACAAAUUUUUAUCUAAAACAUUUACUAUAUAUGAUUCAUAUUAUUUCCUUUUAUAAUUAUUUUAUAUAAAAUUAUUUUGUACCAUAAUUUUUUUUAAAUAAUAUAAAUUGCUAGCAAAUAUUAUACAUUAUACAUAAUAAUUGAUAAUACAAAUAAAAGUGAAAUUAUUGAUGAAAGACAAUUAAAUAAACAUUACAUAAUAAUUCAUAAUACAAAUAAAAGUGAAAUUAUUAAUGAAAUACAAUUAAAUAAACAUUAUGAAAAAAUUAUUUUAAAUUAUACAUAAAUAUUCAAUUUGUACAUAAAUAUUCAUUGCGGCGCUUACGUAAAUGCUCUAUUAAUGCUUUACGUAAUUCAAAACGAGCAUUUUAGGUCCUUUUCCGUAUAAUUUGUAGUAAAAUUAAUAUAAAUUUGAUUUUCUUGAAAGUCAUAAAUAGAAAAAUUAAUUUAUAAAAAAACUAAAUUUUAUAUCUAAAAGUAUCACAUAAAUAAUUAAAUAUAUAAGAGAUUUAAUUAAAACAUACAGUUUAAUUAAAAGUUUAUAUAAUGAAAUUAUAUUAUAAUAUUUAAAAGAUUAUUUGGUGUGAUGAAUAAUGUGACCCUAUUCACACAUCAAAUUUAAUGUUAAAAUUGAUAUGGGUUGGAGAGUCAAAAACACCAAAUAUAAAAUCUAAUGUAAAAUUUAGUGUUGGAUUGGAGACAAUCUUAUAUUAACACGCAUACUUUAUUUAUAACAGCGUUCAAAUAAAAUUUCGAUUUGAUUCCAAUAAAAUCUCUUUAUGCUAAGAUCGCUAAGAGAAUGUAAAGAAAGAUUUGAAAAGUUUGGAAAAAAAACUUUUAUAUUACUUGGAAGAUUGUUUACAAUUUUUCUUUGAUGAUUUAUAAAUGAGUAACAAUGAUUUACAAAUGAGUAACACCUCUAUUUAUAUUAUAUACUAUCUAAAGACUAAAAUGUAAUUUAUAAUUAAAUAUUUUGAUUCUUUUCUAGAGUAUUAUACUUUUUAGGACUACUCAAAAUUUUCUUAGAAAAUAUCUAGUCUAAAACUCUCCAAAAUUUAUCUAAAGUUGUUUACAAACUUCUCCAAAUUCUAGACUUUAUGCAAAAUCUUGUGUCACUUGACUAUGCUACGUGAACAUUUUUAACCACAAUCUAUUGAUUUUGAAAGAAAAAAAUAAGUAACACGUCGGAAGUUGCACUUGCACGAAAAUCAGUCGACGGUGGAAUAGUCAACUAACUUCGGCUGAGACAGCGUGAGGGAUGUCGUCGCUUACGGUGGUCACCGAUUCCGGCGAACGAGCUCCGCUUCUUUGUAUUUCUUCGCCAGAAUUGUCGCACUCGCACCCUAGGGAUGGAGAAAUAGUCUCUUCGUCCUCGGACGAGAUUGCCGUAUCAAAACCUACGCUCAGUGAUCCCAAACAACGUUUAGUCUCUCUCGAUGUCUUUAGAGGCCUUACCAUCGCUGUAUGCUUCCUCUGAAUUUUCUCUUUCCGAUGGCGAUGGACUGAGCCGGCCAUUUCUAAAGUUCUAUUUUAUUUUUCGUAGUUUAACCCUCUAUGAUGAUUGAUGAAACCCCUUAUCACAGCUUUUCCUGCAAAGCACUAUGUCAAAAUUAUUGGAAGAGAAGAAAACACACCCUUAUACUGUUUUGUGAUUUUGCCUGAAUUGUGCUUAUUUGCACAAACACCACCUAAUCAACCUAAUCGAAUGUUAGAAAUUCAAUUCUGCAAUUUCAAUCUUUUCUUUGUAGCUGAAAAUAUUAUACUCUAACUCUUCACCUUUCUCUUCACUAGUGCCUUUUAUUUCAAAGUCAAAAGUAAUACGGAUGAAAGGUGCAAUGCUAAUGGAAAAUGCAUUUUUUUGUGGUUAUCUUGCAGGAGGGUAGUGUUAUAACUUAAAGAAAGACGGGGAAUUGAAAAUUUCUAACGUUUCUGUUUCUGAUUCUAGCAUCUAUUGUAGACUUGUCCUUUCUUUUAAUCCUCUUUGUUAAAUGAUGUGUCUUGAGCGAUUUCAUGUGCUUUUUUUUUUUUUUACUUAGUUUAAUCUCCUUCCUUCUCACCUUAGUUUUCUUUAUGUGGUUUGUUUGACAGUUAAUGAUUUUGGUUGAUGAUGCUGGAAAGGCUUUCCCGUCCAUAAACCACUCUCCAUGGUUCGGAGUGACCCUUGCUGACUUUGUGAUGCCAUUUUUCCUAUUUAUCGUUGGUGUUUCUGCAAGUUUAGUAUUCAAGGUACCAAUUCAUAAUGCUCUUUGUUAGGUAAUCCAAUUUUUUUCAAUUUCAACAGUGAUCUAUUGUUGAUGCAGAAAGUUUCCUGCAAGCCACAAGCUACAAAAAAAGUCUUACUGAGGACAGUUAAGCUCUUUAUUUUGGGAGUAGUCCUUCAAGGUAUGCCAUUUUCUAAGCGACUCACAUCCCAAGAGAGAGACUAAAAGAGGAAAAGAAAAAGAAGAUCUUAGCCCUCAAUUAUUAUUUGCCAAAAUGUUUUGUGUACAUAGAAGAGAAAUGACUAUGUUCUACUUAUGCUCUGCGUUCAUUUUCUACUUAUCAACAACAACAUACCCAGUAUAAUCUCUCAAGCGAGGUCAAGGGAGAGUAGCCCUACUAGAGAGUAGAGAGGUUGUUUCCACCCUCGGCUCCAGGAAAGGCAGAUCAAAAAAGAAAUAAAAGAAGUGAAGAAUUCAUUGAAAAUACUAUAGAAAGCAUGACAUGCAUUCUUGAAAAAAUAGCAGCUACAAUAAAAUAGUGUGACAAUCGAUGUACAAGAGAUAGUAGAUAGUAACAGAAUUGAAGGACAAGAAACUACAAGAGAAAUACUACGACCUCUAGUAUGGAAGGAUAAACAAGACAACACUCUAUUAUUUACUAACUUUCUUCCCUAAUCUGUGUCUUCUACAACCUCUUAUCUAAGGUCAUGUCUUCGAUAUGCUGCAACUGCAUCAUGUCCUGUCUAACUACCUCUCUUCAAUACAUUUUUGGCCUAUCGCCUACCUCUAGCUCUCCUGAAGCUAUCCAUAACCAACCUCUCACACCUCCGCAUUGAGGCAUUCAUGCAUAUGCUCUUUUACAUGCCCUGACCAUCUCAGUUAAACUUCAUUUGUGUGAUGAAAUGCCAGAUCCGAUGUAAUCAAUAUGUAAGUCAACAUGUAGAGCAAAUCAUGGACUGCUGGUAUUGAAGAAGUAAAGAUUAAUUAUGCAAGGAUAAGAAAAUAUCUAUCUAUAUAUAUAUAACUGACUUAAGUGAGAUCUAACUGACUUAAUGACCUAACUGACUAAUAUCCUCAUAGUUCACUGUAUUUACAAGUAUGCCAUUGUCUUCAUAUAUAUAUAUAUAUAUAUAUAUAAAACCGACUUAAGUGAGAUCUAACUGAAUGACCUAACUGACUAAUAUCCUCAUAGUUCACUGUAUUUACAAGUAUGCCAUUGUCUUCCACAUUAUCAUUUCAGCAUCUCUUCAAGCUAGUUGGUGGGAAAACAUUCAAAACACCUAGCUUUGAUAAUCGAUGAUAAUGUUGAACUCCUCCAAGUCCCUUUGUCAAGAAAUCUCUUCUUGCUCAGUUGUUGGAACAUACUAUGGAUGAACUAGAUCCUGCAGCACUUCUCCCUUAUCAAAUGACAAUCUUUAUGUGUUUUGUUCUUUCAUGAAACACAAGAUUCUUUGCUAUCUGCAUUGCUGCCUUACUGUCUGUGAGCAACUGAAUUGGCGUAGGAACGCUAACUCCAGAUACUUGAAUAAUACCAAUAGCCAGAUAAAUUCUGAUACUAUUAAUACCAUGCUUCUAUAGUCGGAUUCUACUGAGCUUUUUGCCACUGUGUUAUGCUUCUUUGACUUCCAUUAUAUUAAAGAUCCAGCUGCCUCCAAAUAUGACUUCUUUGGAGUCUGCAUGGACUAACUCAAGGUCUAAAUACUAUGGGCUAUAUCCAGCCUAGAACUGUACGACAACCUGUCUGCCUUGUCUUCUCAAUGUGAAUAAAGAAUAUCAUAUUGACUUAGAAAAAGACCAACUAAUAAGGGCAUUAGUGGAAUUCAGAUUCCAUAGCCUUAAUGCUUGCUUAAGACCAUAACGAGAUUUGAGGAGCCUACAACCCUUAUUAUGGCUGUCAAGUCCAGGUGGAAACAAUAUGUAAACCUCCUCCUCUCCUCUUGCAAAGAGAGCACUGUAAACAUCCCUUUGAUAUAGACUCCAGAUAGGCAUAGUAGUGAAGGCAAUGACAGCCGUAGCUGUCACCAUCUUAACAACAAGAGGAAAAGUCUCCAAAUAGUCCAACCCCUUUUGUUGGCUAUACCCUUUCACCACAAGCCUUGCGUUGAAUCUUUCCACCUCAUCAAUAGACUUAUAUUUGAUCUAAUAUACCCAUUUACAAUCAAUGGAAAUCUUUCCUCUGGACGCAUCAACCACCUCCCAAGUCUUAUUCUAAACCAAAGCAUCUAUCUUAGACUGCAUGGCAACUGGGAGAAAUAAAUGAGAAAAAAUAUUAGGAUUGAAAAUAAUCAUACGAGUUUUGAGAUUUGAGAUUGAAGUCAUUGUUGUGAAAGACUGAAACCAAGCUUAUGUUGUGGUAUUGCUUGGGCAAAAGCAUUGAUGAGUAUGAUGAUGUGGAUGGAAAAUUGUGCAAAAACUAUUAAGUAUAAUGAACUUAACCAUGAAAGAGGGUGGUGGUGGGUGCACACUGUACACCUAUCAACCAUGGUGGGCUUAUUCGAACUAGGGUCCUCUUUUUGGAUGGCAUUGAGUAUCCAUAUAUUAUUGACUAUCAAGGCCAUAUAUUAUUGAUUGUCGAAGAUUUAUUAGUAAAUGGAACUUUUUGCUGACUUCGUCAAAAUUAAGAUUAUGAUUUAAUGUGUACUGCUUUGAAAAAACAUAAGGAUGAAAUUUGCUGAGAGGUAACACCUGGAGGAAAAAGGGAUCAGUUGCUUCUGUCCUGCUUGAACUGAAAAUUUGACAUCAUGAGCUUCUGUUAUUAUUAGCUUUUUAGAUAUUCUGGCAAAGUAAAAAGCCUCCCUUACAUAAACUGUUCCAUCAACUGCAUGUAAACUCACAUAUGUUACAGUUACAAGUCACUGAAUCACUCAUUCGUAGGUGGGUAUUUCCACGGCCGCAACAACCUGAGUUAUGGAGUUGAUAUUGCUAAAAUUAGAUGGAUGGGAGUGUUACAGGUACUUUGUGUGACAAUGGCUUGUGUUUCUUAAUUGAUUAUUCCUGAAGUUGUAUUCCCUGGCGCUCUUCUAUACUCUUAGGUAGAUCAAAACCUUUAAUGUUAGUUGUAUUUAAGUUUCUAUACAUCCUACCGUUACUCUAUUUGCUUUCUGUUGUAGAGGAUUUCCAUCGGUUAUUUAUUUGCUUCAAUCCUGGAAAUUUGGUUUGCCAAUGAUUAUCCUGUUGAUUCAUCAAAGGCAUUUAUCAGGAGAUACUUCUUCCAAGCGUAAGUAUACCUUUUGAGAUUCUGGAUCAUCUGGUGUUAGGUUCAUUCAUGGUUUAUUUUAAUCCUUCUGUUGGUGAUUCACAUGGUUGAAGUGUUCAUUCAUGGUUUAUUUUAAUCUUUUGUUGGCGAUUCACAUAGUUGAAGUGUUUGUUUUUCUUAAUUUUGUCUUCCUAUGUCAAGAAUUUCACACAUAUCCGUUCAAGAUUUUUGUAGUGCUUGAAAUUUUGUGGUAGCAGCAGAAUAUUUAUCCUUAAGCAUGUGUAUGAACUAGUACCCUUGAGAAUCUGUGAAUGAUAUUACUACUUGUCCUGCAAAAAAUGAUCUAUGAUACUCCAAAGGAGUUCAUGAAGUGCAACAUUACCAGUUUUUUUUAAAAAAAUUUCAUGAAGUGCAUAACAAUAUUCUAGUGAUUCAAAUGGCUAUCCAUCUGUUACUGGGAAUACAGCUGGUUGACAUUUGUUCUCUGUCUAUGCUAUUUCUACUUCUUAUAUAGCAGUCCUUUGACCUGAACAAUCAAAUGAAAUUUUCGUCCCUUAGCAUUUUGCUUGUUGGAAUUAAAUGCAGCUUAAGCAAAACCUAUUUAACUUUUCAGUGGAUAUGUUCUCCUAUUGCACAUUUUCCUGAGACAUGGUCCAAUACAUGAUGACCCUUUCAGCUUUUUGCUUGUCCAGAAUAUGGGUAUGUGCAAUUGUAUGAUGUUCGUAAUUGUUAUGAGGAAUGAUGAGAUCCCAGUUAUUUUUAUCUGAUCAGUCAUUUUAACCUCAAUUCUGUUACAAAAAAAAUGAUGAGAUCCCAGAUCUGAUCAAUUAUGCCUUUAUGCCAAUUUGAAAAUUGCAAAGUAAUUCUAUUUGAGAACCUUUUUUUUUUUAAAUGCUAAUAUGCUUCUCAAUAUGCAGGCUGGCUGGAAUGUUAAUUGGUUUGUCGUACCUGAUUUUGGUAUAUGGCCUCUAUGUUCCAGACUGGUUCUUUGAAAUAUCUAGUCUUAACAUGGAAUCACGAUCACCAGUUUCAGGAUAUCGAUUGAGUACUCAAACUGUAAGAAUCUUUUUGAAGAGCUUCAAGAUUUUAGUGUUCUCUGAUUUACUCUAUCUGGUGGCUGUUAAACUCUUUCCUUUUCAGCACUAUACAUCUGCUAAAUUGUCAUUCUACAUGCCUUACUUCAAGUUCCCUAGAAGUCUGACACUUCAGUAAAUCAAUGUGGUUUGAGAGAGAAAGUGAAGCCACAUUUCAGGUUGACAGAUUGAGCCACUCUUCAUCUUACUUUAGGUCAUGAAUCUAUUUUUAACAGGUUAACUGUGGAGUGAGGGGCAGUCUCGAACCUCCUUGCAAUGUUGUUGGUCUGAUUGAUAGGCUUCUUCUUGGUGAAAAACACCUUUAUCAACGUCCUGUCUACAGAAGAACCAAGGUUCUUUAUGAACUUAAUUGUCAUGUUCAAAAUCUGAUUUUGUGGAUUUGAACUUUCCAUCUCUAUUCUCUUUGUUUUUUCUCUUGUAAUUUUCUGUGGAUAGGAAUGCAGUGUCAACUCUCCUGAUUAUGGACCUCCACCAUCAAAUGCACCUGGAUGGUGCCUUGCUCCAUUUGACCCUGAAGGAAUCUUAAGGUAGAUAUCCUCCUUGCCCCAUAUACACUUUCUCAGCAGAUUGCAUCUGGUUUAGUUUUAUUAGCUAAAGCCCAGUUACACACAAUUGGAAACAACUUUCCUUUGUGAGUUGAUUUGAAUUUCUGGAGGUACUAAUUCAUGAAGGCUGAUAAUUCUAUCUCUCACUUCAUUAUACAAUGUUUAAAGUAACAUAUCAUUUGCUGUACCAUUUGUUUUACAUAGGAUAAGUGCUUAAAUCAACCAAAGACUACACAAUGGAUUAAGAAUGAUUGGAAAUUCCUGUUUCUUUUUUAUGUUAAAUCAAAUUAUGUUCCUUUGUUUUACUUUAAUUGCUUCCAGCUCAUAUUUUUCUAUUUCUUCAUUGAAACUAUUCAGUUCUUUGAUGGCAACCGUUACGUGUCUUGUGGGCUUGCAUUUCGGCCACAUUUUUGUGCAUGUUAAAGUAAGGAAGACAUGAUACCAUUUUGAAAUAUUUGCUUACUAUAGAAUUGCUUCUUGUUUUUGCAUGUUCUCUUUCUCAUAUUUAUACAUCUUUGCUAUAGGAUCACCGGCAGAGGGUAAUCUUUUGGUCUGUAUUUUCUGUAUUUCUAACACUUGCAGGAUAUGUAUUGGAGCUUGCAGGUAUGCUGUUUUAUUGAUGACAGUGGGUUGAAUUUUGUUUUUAAAAUAUGUUUGCUUUAUAGCUGACACUCACAGCACAUUUUUGAUGUUCCAGGUGUUCCUCUUUCUAAACCGCUUUACACAUUGAGCUAUAUGUUCAUCACGGCUGGAGUAUCCGGUUUGCUCUUAGUAGUUCUUUAUUACAUUGUGAGCCUGACUAGAUUUAUUGGUUAUCUUCUCUUUUAAUGAGAUAAUCCUUUGUGAUAUUAAUUCUACGAAAAAUGAUAUGUACCGAAACAGAUGAAUUUUCUUUCAUUGAUAUUUGACAGAAUGAAUAAUGAGCAAGAUGCCCAAGAGAAGCCACCAGAAAUGAGCAUUGAUGAUAUUAACAUACUAUAUCUGAUACUGCUUAAUGAAAAAGUGACUGCUAGGUUAAUAAAUGGAAUCAAACUGAAGUUCACAACAUGAGAGUACUUUUAAUUUCCUUUAGUGUUACAGAGUUUAUAAAAGAUCUGUACGUGCAAAUACCAGGAUUGUCAAUAUUAUUUUCAUUGUCGACUCUUUUGUUGGUAAUAAUUGAUAAAAAUAUGGUAGACUCAAAAUGUGCAAUCAUUAUUUAGGGAAAUGUAUAUUUGAUCAUGAUGCAUUACGGUCUAGUGUCUAACUGAAAGCAGAUACAUUUAUAUAUUUGCUAAGCGAUGUAUGAUCUGCAGUCUGCACUUCCAAAUUUAAUUAGAUGGCUGUUUGGAAGAUUGCAAGAUAUGGGACCAAAUAAUGAAAUGCAGAUUGUGCACAUGACUGUUUUCCUGAUACUUUUAUGUAUCCGUCAAGUCUAGUAAUUGCUUUCCAGGCACUGACUUGUGGCUUUUGAAGAAAAACAUCUUUAAUUUUGAAGUAGAAAUUUAUACUUCUCAUACAGUAUCUGUAUUGUGAUUUUCUUGAUUCUGUUACAACACGUACUUGUAAACUAUCAAUUAAGAAAGGUAUUCCCUUAAUUUUUACAUCAUUAGAGGAAAAGGAUGAUAUUACUGAUCUACGGCAUGGAAUUGAUUUGCGUUCUCUAUCUGGUCGAUGCAGGUUGAUGUCAAAUGUUUUCAGAAGCCAAUGAUAUUAUUUCAGUGGAUGGGAAUGAAUGCUCUCAUCCUCUAUGCUAUGGCUGCUUGUGACCUCUUUUCUGGGGCAGUUCAAGGUUUCUAUUGGUAUUCACCUGAAAACAACUUGGUAAUCAUCUUCUUUCCAUUAAAUAUUAGUUCCUCUAGUAAACUUACUCAACUUCUGAGGAGCUAUUUCUGAUAAUUGCAAUGCUCUGCUCCACAAACCUGCUUUUGGCAAACAGUGUUUGUGGAAGAUCAUUUGUGACAGGUGUGACAGAGAGAACCACAUUAAAAGAGAGAGAGAGAGAGAGAUGGACAAUAUCCCUGGAAAUGAGAUUGGGAUUUAGUAUUAGCCUUUUAUGAAGGUUUAGUUUGACCUACUAUUCUACAUAUGACAGGCAUCAGAAAACAGUGAGCAGAGCACAUCAAAGAUAUUUCUGCUUUUGUAUCCUAAUGGAUAAAUUAAUAGUAUGAAUUUGGAGGAUUCUUGGUAAAAUUGAGUACUCUGGUGGAAAGAGGGGGGAGGAGUUGUCAUUUGAAACUGGGACUUCUUUACCAGUUGAACUAGUUCUGAUUACCCUUCAAGUACUCUGCACCUCUCCCCUCUCCCCAUUUGUUGUGGUUUUCUUCAGCCCUCAAGUAGUGCAGUGUUAUUUAUGGUGUUCACGUAGUAACUUUCAUACUUGUAUAUUCUCCUCAAGUCGCUUCAUAUUCAAUUUUUUUCUUGUUAACAAUAGUCUCUCCAUGUUUUGUGUAAGAGACAUAAAAAUCAAAUAGUAUCAUUUUCUAGCAAAUUUACUGCUUCAUUUAGGUUUCCAAGUUUGUUUAAUGCAUACUUAUAGGUGCUUUUAGAGAUUUACAGAUAGUAACUAUAUCAAACGAUGCUUCUACAAAGAUCUGACAUUACAAAUAAAAUGGAAUGCAGGUUGACAUUACAGAAAGGUUCAUUCAAGCAGCAUUUAAUUCAAAGAAGUGGGGUACCUUGGUAUUUGUGAUGCUUGAGAUAUUGAUUUGGGGUUUGGUUGCUGGAUUCCUUCAUGCAAAAAAGGUUUAUAUAAAGCUAUGAAGUUGCUGAUGUGAAUGCUUUUGCGUUGUCUGGUGCCACUCUCUUGAUCAUGCCCAGUAUUUUAAAAGAAUGCAUUCAGUGAGUCCUUCCUGCAGCAAAUCCAGAAGAUUUGAGAUUCCCAAGUCAUAGCAUUGAACUUUACUGUCCUUACGUCAUGUAUAUAUCUGCGGAUAAUAUUAUGUAGUAGAUCAUGAACAGUUUCCAGCUUUCUCCUUGGGUAGUUGUGGCAUUAAAAUUUGCUUCAAGGAUAUCUACAUAGUCCAGUCACAAAUGACAGCAGGUUGUAAACUUGUCAUAUCAUAUUUAAUUCUCUUUGUUGAUCUUCCUUUCUAUUACGGUAUUACCCAGUUCCUAGCUGGUCUUGACAAUCGUGGACACCACAUUAUAUAUAUAUAUAUAUAUAUAUAUAUAUAUAUAUACACAUACAUACAUACAUAUAUAUAUAUUCUCCUUUUCUGUUCUUUUUGCGGGUGGAGUGAGAUAGACCCUGUUCUUGAACUUUGCAAAUUCAUUUACCAUGAAGAAUCAAAGAUUAUAACUUGGACCCCGUUAAUACAUUCAUAAUCCUAUAAUUAGCGAGUCUGAUAUAGAGCAUAAUCACAAGUUAUAAUGUGAGACAAAAUUAACCAUGGGAAUUUUAUCACGACUGUCUGGGCAGCUUCUGUUUCUGCUACUUUGCAAUAAGUGAACUAGAUUGAGUAGACAUCGAGCAUCUUUUUACUUGUCUAUUUUUUUCCAAGUCUAAAGAUCCAAUUUAAUUAAUUUACUAAUUGUGACAGAAUUGAGAGAGUCAAGUUCUCAAACGGUCACUCAGCUGCUAUAUAGUAAAGUGAAACUAGUACUAUGUUUUAGGAAUAAAAAAAGAAAUUGAAGCAGAAGGCUGGCCAGAAUGUUAUAUAUAUUCAUGAUUGUUACGUUCCCUUUGUCUUGUUAUAUAUGAUACAGUAUAUAGGUUGGCUUCAUCAUCAAUGUACUUCUCAUCCAUCAUAUACUAUAUAAUUAGCUAGACAAUAAUGGGCUAUCUGGCCUUGGCCUUAUUUAUUACGUAAUGUUGACCUUGCAAUUAAUGGAAUUGGCCAUUGAUUGAAUCAACGUUUUGACGCCUCAUUUGUUGGUAAAACUGAAGGAUGAAGAGCUCGGCCUUGGCAUCGAUCAUGUCAUCAGCGCCAAUAGCAUCGAAGACUUUGUCAGGGUCAUCUUCAUCUUCCUCCUGUUCGUCGAGGUCUUGGAGAUUGCUUGCGGAAGCGUACUGGCUCAUGGUCUCCGAUGAGGCUGAGGCCGAGGCCUGGUCAUCUAGUGAUUUCAGAUCGUUUGCUGAAGCGUAUUGGCUCAUGGUAUCCAACUGAUCUAGUGAUUUGAGAUCGUCAGCAGAAGCGUACUGGCUCACUGCAGAGGGUGACGUGGCACAAUAUAAUGUAUUAUUAUUAUUAAUAUUAUUAUUAUUAUUGUCCUGCAGAUGCAAAGGGCGCAUAGAACCCACCAGCUUCUUCCAAUCUCCCUGUUGGGUUAUUACCUGAGCAGCUUUCUGCUUUCCUUUUGUUCGAUGGCGCAAUACGAACAUUGCAGCUUUGAAGAAGCCGAAAACGCCUGGUGGCUUCGCCUUCUUCUUAUUCUGAUCGUCAUUUCUGUUGUCCUUGAUGGCGACCACGCCUUCCGUCAUUCUUUGAUAUUUAUUAAUUAAUUUGCCUUAGCCCUCCCUGCAAAAUGCAGGGUGAGUUAUAGGAAAAAGAUUUUGGAUAUAACUACCGCACUUCUUAUGCUCUAUAUAGGAGGAACAUUUCUGUUUUCUUGGCAACAUUUGUCACCACAAUAAAUCAUUCAUUUAUUCAAAUUAACACAUUAUUAGGACAACCAAAGGCUUCUAUUUUCUACUUUACCUGAGUUUUCUCCUCAUCAACCAAAUGCAUAAUUGAUUUAAAAAAAAAAAAAAAAAGAUAUACACGGGAAAGAAAUAAGUUUAUAUUUUGUAGAAAAAAAUUCAAACACUUAAAAUUUUGCAAAAGAAAUAAAGCACUUGUGCUCGACAUGAAGUAAUUAUUCGUACCAUGUAAAAUGACUGAUAUAAAAUAACAAAUACUAUGUAUAUUUAAAACUUAAAUUAAUGAAAAGAAUACAAAGAUAUACAAUUUAUCAUUAUCUUAUUUAUGAUACUCAUUUGGCAAAAUUGUACAAGAAACCAAACAAAGUCCAUAAACUGCUGAGGAUUUCAUGUUCAUGAAAAGAAUAAUCUUAAGAAAUGCAAAUUGCAUGUCCAAACAAAAAUUCAACUUCAUAACAAUGCAAUCAUAUCACAAGUCUUAAUGGGCCCUCACGUGUGAAAGACAAACUACGGACCCCAAGAUAGUAUUAUAAUGGCAGGAUCAUUAAGAUAUUAACAGAAUGAGCAGAUUUCAUGCUUUUGGACACUUGUGUGCAUCCAUGUUGUGGUUCAUUUCAUUUCGACGAACAGAACUGGGGCAUAUCUCUAAGCAUGGCUCUUUAAGAGCAUCGUCCACUUCUUGCUGAGGAGGAAGAAUCCCAAAUUUAAACUGCAUUAGAUUGGGACAGCGUUAUGUAUGUUUCCAUGGUGUUUCUUGUAGGCACAAAAUCAAAUCAGAAGAAUCACAUGCGUGUGUUGCAAAAACGUCAACUUUUAUGAUUAUGUCAACAAGAAGUGUAUUAUAUCAGCAUGACUUAUUCUCUCAGGGCUUUUCAAGGGGCAUUACCAAGCAUUUUAAUUUUAGCCUCAAUUCCAAUAAACCUCCAAAUGGUGUGGGUGUGUUACCAAUUAUAUGUUUAAGAUGCAUGAACAAAUAUACUUUGCAACCGCACCAUCACCUGGCCAAUGAAAACAGUUACCUGACAACUAUAAUCAAUGAAGUUUGGCUCCAUCAGCAAUGGAACUCCCAUGUGAUCCUUGAAGAAAGUCUAAAAGAAAGGCAGAAAUGUGAUGGCCAGCUCACAUAAGAAGCUCAGAUAGGCCUUUUAACAUAGUUGAUGCAUUUUUAGUAGUCAUUAGUUAAGUUCAAGAAGCUAAUAACACAGAUGGAAACAUCCUAGUUCACACAAUUUAGAUAAUCUGCCUCUAAAUUUUAUAGAACUCGAGUUAAGAUUUGAGUGCUCUCUAAAAUUCCUUAAGUUAGCAUAUACAUGUACUAUUAACAUCUUUUGAAAAACAAUGUACGAGGAAAAACACCAUUAUGAUAAAUAGCAUGAGAUCUCAUUACAAUAACUUUGAACUGAAGUAAUGGAUGUAAAAAUUUGACAACUCAUGGAAGCUACUGUAUAACUCAAUCAGCAGCUCCAUUACACUAAUACAUACUCCCUCUGUUCCCGGUUUUGACUUGGCACAGAAUCCAAGUAAAGAAUACUUAGGAAUUUUGUGGUCUUAAAUUUCUAUCUACCAAAAUACCCUUAAAUCUUAUGGUCUUAAACAUGCUUUGUGGAAAAUUAAAAUUAAAGUGUUCCCAAAAAAUUAAAGGAAAGAGUUAUUUUUUUUGAAACGUACUAAAAAGGGAAACAAGACAAACAAGAGGAAGUAAAAAAGGAGCAUUUGAAGUGAAAGAUUUUAGCCCAUCAGCUUAUUAGAAAGUGUUAACAAAAUUAUUGCUAAGCUGCUAGCUGGCAGAAAGGCUCAAGCUGGUAAAAUUGAUAAGUUAGUUUUGGAGUGUUGGAUGAUUUUGUAAAGGGUAGGCAGAUAUAGAUGCAACUAUGGUGGUUAAUGGAAGUUUUGAACACUCGAUGAUGUUGACGAAAAGAUAAGGCAUACACAUGCUCCGUAUAAUCCAGACAGAUAAAAGGAAAAAAAGAAAAUAAGGGGAAACAUGAAUGAAGUAAAUACAGUCUACAAGAAAUAGAUUUUUCCCAAGAAAUGUUUUUUUUUAAUAAACAAUAUUAAAGCCGCAAUCAAAAUACUUUACCAGAUAAAGAAUGACAAAGGUUCAGCAAAGACCCAUUAGGAACUAUAGUUCUCAAUCUAGAAAACUGACCUGUGUAGGGAGUUUACAUGUAUUAAUACAUACACCCACACAUUUGCUCUCUUCCAAAUACUUGCAUUUCUCCACAAAAACCUAUUGAAAUAAUUAUUUGCAAGAAAUCAAAAUAAGAGUGAACACAUUUUAGGAAUCUCUGAUGAAAAAUAUAUAUAUACAGAGAGUAAGGUAAGGGAAUAGAAAUACUAACCCCACUCAUCAAUGAGGAACCAUUUGGAAGAUGUACGGAAUUAACAGUACAUGGACCCAUAAGCCAUUGGCAAGAUAAUGCAGUCACCCUUGCUUUCAGAAGUAAUAACAAUCAAAUGUUCAGAUGAGAAGUAGCUAUUUAACGGGAAGAAAACAGAAGAAUAUCACUCACCGACCAUCAAGGCUGCAAAUUUACCACUAUGUAUAGGUGCAAUAAGCAUCCGGUAGAGCUCCAACAACAAAGGAGGAAAUAAUGAUUUCAAUAUACGAACCUGUCUGUCACAUUAUCAAAAAUAUGAUCCCGAUAUGAAAAGCUACUAGCUCGACAGGCUAUGAAUGAAAAAGAAGAGUAAGUUGUUACCGAUGCGUCUCUAGUUUUGGAAUUGUCUUGACUAACCGUCAGACGAUGCGCCACUUCAAUUAGACCCUGGUACCCCGGCUUUUCGGAGUCCCAUCCUGUCUCCUACAAAAGGCACCCUAUUUGAGGUGAGGAAACGAAGUGGAGUUGAGCUGGAGGGUGAAAGGGGUUUAUUUACCUGGACCAUUUUGUUCCGGAAUAAACUAAGGAACAGAUUAUCAAACACCUUGGGCUUUCUUGCUUCAAUCUGGGGGAAUGAGCAGAAAUAACUUGUAAGAAGAAAUCAAAUAGUAAGACAGAAAAGGGGGGAAGAGCGUUUCGUUUCACACAGGUUCUGAUGUACUGUUUGAGAAACACGAAACCCGAAUACCGCUUUUUCCAUGGUAAACUUUGGGCCAAGCGAAGAGGGGCGAGGAUAGAGGAACCAUAGCCAUCACCGGACUUCCAAUCCCUUCUAUCUUCCUUCCUUUCGCGGUUGUCCAAUCAUUAUAAUGAUAAUUUUUUUUUCUCACUCCAUUAAUUAUACAUUAACGUUAGAAUUAAAGCAAAUGUAUUUAUAUGAUUCAAAUCAUAGCGAUUUUAAGUAGCAGUACUUAUUUAGUAUGAUUUUCUUUUUAAAAAUAUGCAUAAUUAAUAUAGGUAUAAAUUAUAUAUUGUAUUAUGUAUAAUAUAGAUUAUAUAAUUAAAACAUAGUGUGCAUAUCAAGGCUCUUUAAAAAAGAAAAGUUAUAUUUUAAACAUUAACCGUGAGAAAUAUAUUAAAAGAUUUAAUAUGGUUUAGUCAAUCGCUUAUAAAGAAAACUAACAAUUCACUAUAAAUAAAAAUGAGAGUGAAAAAUAUAAAGAGAAAUAACAUCAAUCAGUUCAUCACUCGAAAUACGAGGAGGUUCAAAAAUUUUCUCUCACAAUCAAAACUCUCAAACUACAUUGUGAAUGAUGAUUAAAUUAGACGAAGAUAUAUUUAUAGAUUUCUUAAACUUUUGAAAAAGACUAUUGAAAUCUUAAACAUUUAUUUCAACUAAUUAAAUGGAUAAAUUGUUCCAGGCAAUCCUUUUCCUAUAUUUCCAGUUUUUAAUUAUUGUUUGUAUUUAUAUUAUAUAGUUGUAAAGAAGAUUCCAUUAAUUAAUAAUGAGUAUUAAUAAUAUUAAUAAUGAAUGAAUGAUCACUAUAUAUAUAUAUGAUAAUAAUGUUCCCGGUCGUCUAUGACUCUAACUAAAACGAUAUUACAUUGAAAUUAUCUUCCUCCAAGGCCAAGGUAAAAAGGUGCACCAGUGUGCUUCAACCAAAGAUAUCCAUUAAUCCAGCGGUCGACUGUGUAUUGAACCGCUUCAAGUGGGUUAAUAAGACGGAAGUUCUUGAAGCUCUUGUUCCUGUUAUUGAUGUUUGCACCGGGUCCGCGGUUGGCAAACUCGUAGUAAUUACAUGUCCGCUCGAAUGAUUCUCCUUGCCAUAUCAUCCAACCUUCUGGGCGGAUGAAAUCACCCAAUUCGCUCUCCAUGAAUACAGUGGUUGCAUAAGGCUUCCAGGGACGCCCCAAGUAUGAUGCCAGCUUGAACCUAUCUGCAAACAAUUCCAUUUCUGGAACGAUUCUGCAGUUCUGGAACACCAAACCACCUGGUUUGUUUGCUAUUUCUUUGCCAUCAGCGGUGAUGGUGUUGAACUGGCUGUCCAAAGGUCUCCUCGCUAUGAUCAAACUGUUUUGGAUUACUGCUGACCCCCUUCCAAAUAUGAAAUCUAUCGUACCAGAGAUGACACAGUUGCGGUAAAAUUGGCGAUGGUUUUGAUAGUACAAGGUGUCUUGAUAACCUUCAAUGCUGCAGUCAAAAACAGCAGCCAUAUCACCGUUAAUUCGAAGAGCCACAGCUUGGUGACCUUGUGGACCAGCAGUGUUGCGGAAGGUAAUUCCCCUUGCAACGAACCCAUUGCCAAGAACAGCAAAAGUAGCAGUGUCUUGGGUGGGUAUUUUCAUGAUACCAAAGUUUCUAUGUCCAGUAAUAAUGGUUUUCCCUGCUCCAUCGCCAUAGAUGAAGACGUUUGGUUGCUUCUUGGAGAUGAUGACUUGCUCCUCAUAGAUACCAGCUUUAACAUACACUAUGUAUUUGCCUCUAUGGUUUUUAGGAUAGGCAGCUAACGCAGCAGCGACGGUGUUGUACUGACCAGUGCCAUCCUUGGCGACCACUGCAUGAGGAGCUGCCCUAUGUCGUCCACCUCCAGCUAAAAGCUUACGGUCGGCAACAGGGAACCAGGUAGGGUAAUUAGCAAGGAGGCGACGAUGACUAGAUGUUGAUGGAAUGGUGCUUGAGAUGUUGAAAGCGUCUUGGAGGACGUUUGAAAUCUUUGCUACAAUGUUAAUUGCAUUGUGUGUGAGUUGGGUUGCAUUUCGCAUGCCAUUUUCUAAGACUUGUUUGUAAUCAGGCUUAUCAAUUAUACCAUCGAGACACAUGCUUUGAUAGGAGUAGACCGCACCGAGCCAGUUCAAUAGUUCGCUCACACGAUCACCAAGGGAAUGCAAUGCGGUAUCCCCAACCAUAGAGUAGGAGUCGUGGAGUUCCUCCACAGCAUAUUGCAACAGCUCUUUGCAAUCCUCUACUGCCAUGUGAUUGUACGGAUCCGUUUUAUUAUCAAUAGGAUUACCCUUCUCCACAACCGCUAAAGAUUUCUUUAUUUCAUCCCCUGUCACUUGCAACGAAGCCAACAGGUAGUCUUUCAUCGUAGCACUAUCGUUCUUAGACACUGCAUCAAGGCUCUUAAAACAAGCUAUUUCGAAUUCUGCAGGUUUACAGAACUCCACAAUCGAUGCCUUCAUUUGGACUUUAGGAUUUUGUCCUGCAUGAUCUUUUGACCCUUUGUGCACAACGAUCGCCACUCCCAAUACAACACCCACCACAAGAAACAAUGAUACCAAAGAAACCACGAUUUUCCCCACCAUCUUUUAUAUAUAUAUAUAUAUAUAUAUAUAUCGAAUUAAUUCUUAUAUUCGACCGGGACAAAAUGCAUGUAUUAAUAAUAAAAGAAAAAUAAAAUAAAACAACUAAUGGCGCCCGCAGUUAGAGGUUAUUCCUCCAAUAGGUUACACUAGUCGUUGAACAUGCAUAUAUAAAAAGAAGAUGGAUGGAUGAAUUAACCAUCAUGUUAUGAGCAGCUUUAUAUAGAAGAUUGUACGGACGAUUGUGCUCCAUUCACUUCGUCGCCAUCCAUCCAUUGUAUAGAAUAAUGGCGAACCACUAAUUAGGAACCGUCAAAUUAGUGGAUUUCAUUUUUUAUGUUUUCUUAAAAAAUAGAGCAUCAAUAAAUUUAUAUAUAGUUAGUUGAUUAUUCCUGUCUAUGUUUUGGUUAUAGCUAUUCUCUUAAAUGAACUGCAUUUUUGGUUAAAUAAGCUAUAUAAAAAUGGGAAAAUGUACCCAAAAAAAUUACUCAUUUUCCGAAUUUGUCAAUAAAAAUUUUAAAAAAAUUGUAGAAUUAAAGGUUAUUAUAUUUGUUUGUGAACUUCUGAAGUUAAUUAUAUAUUUAUACUUUUCAUAUUUUUAAUUAAUGAAUUACUCAUUUUCGAGAUUUUCUGGAAAAAAAAAAUCAAAUUUUAAUUAAAAUAUUGAAGUUGUUGGAUUUAAGAUUACUAUAUUUAUUUUUGAAUUUUUGGCGUUAAUUUUAUAUUAUUUUUUUCAUAUUUUUCUUAUUUUUUAUUAAUCAAUUACCCAUUUUCGAGAUUUACCAAAAAAAUAAAAAUUAAUCAAAAUUGUUAAAAAUGAGUUGGAUAAUUUAUUUAAAAGGGUCAUUGAUUUAUGGGUUGAAUUAGGUGUUUGUGAGUCCGAAUCUCUUUCCAUUUCCAUAUAAAUGUCAUGUGUUAAGGUCAAAUGACAUCACAAAUUCCAUGUGACAUUUAGAUAAAUGAAAAAUGAAUUGGAAACAUAUCAACUAACCACAUAAGGACAUAUCUUGGUCACAAGUUGGACGGUAAGGGCAUGAGAAACCCAAACUUUAAACGAAAGGUAUAUCUAAACCUUUUCGAAUAGUUUAGGGGCAUAUUUGACCUUUUCCCCAUUUUUAUAUAGCUUAUUUUGAUAAAUUCGUGCAAGCUUAGAAAGGCAAUCGUCUUGACUAGAAAAGAGUAGUAUGUAUCAAUGAAAAAUAAAAGGUAGUACAAAUUGAGAAUAUGCUUGCUCAACUAAUAGUUGUCACAUUUUUCUUUCAGAUUUUUGACGACUUUUUAAAAUUAUCAAAACAGAUUUGUCCGUCACCACUGCCGAAUUGGUCAAAGAGAUAGUUUUUGACGCAGCUUAACGACUUAGUUUCAUCAGUUAACGUGAGUGAAGGGUAAAAAACUACUGCAACGACUUAGUUUCAACACAACCCUGUUUUUCAGCUAUCAAAAUUGCAUAUUUUCUCAGCGUCACCAACCAACAGAAAGGAAGUAAAUGAAACAAAAGAACAAAGGAGACAAAUAAAGCAAAUACUUAUGACAUCAUCUAUCCCAUUCAGUGUCCCACAAAGUUUUGGAUUCAAAUAAUAUGUCAAUAUUAUAGCACACAAACACAAUCCCUCAAGUGCAAGGACGCCUGGAACUAUUUCCAUCGGGCAUGCAUCUAUCAUUCUGUUAUAUCCCUCGUACCAAAUCUGUGAUCAAUGACAAAUGAAUCCAUCACUCAACUGAGCAUGCUGCAUACAAAUUUGCCAUUGGACACCACUAGCUUCUCCCCUUUAAUGACCGUAUCUAGUGGUAGUGGGCUGAAACUCCGAGAUGGGCCAUAAAAAUGAGGAAAGACAUUUGAGUCACCGACAGCUUCAUAAACCAACCCAUUCCCAAGCUGAAAAAAAAAACCAUCAUAACAGGGGAACAUCUCGUGACAAACUUUUCAUAAAAAUUGCAACUUUUCAUAAAAGUCGCCACUUUUCAUCAAAGUCGCAACAUUUCAUAAAAGUCACAACUCUUCAUAAAAGUCGCAACUCUUCAUUUCUAUUCACACCUUUUUUUUUAAAUCCAACAAUCCCCCGCAUGAAUGGGGAAUGACUCGAAGACAAAGAAACGGACAAGUAUGUGUACUUUACAAGCAAGAAUUAAUUGCAUCUGGAUAAGUAGGUUUCCCCUUGGACUUUCCUUAGUGAACAUAUGUCGGAUAUACUCGGUCAAUCGGUAGAUGCGAUAUCUUUGAACCGUCGAACUUUGGUGUAUACCUAGACAACCAUAUGUCGCACAAUUAACCUUUUACCAUUUAUGGUUCUUACGGUUGUGUUCGUUUUAGCCAUGAACACCUCCUGGUUUCAUGAGUGUAUAGAGAGAUGGGCUUUUGACAAUCAUCUUCUUUGAAGCGGCUUACACUUCACACUCACAUAGGUGAUUUCUAACCGUGUUAUCGGGUAGAUACACUAUUUGGUUAACUCUGUCAAACUUAGAAAAUCAUUAAAACCAUUAAGCUUUAUUAACUCAUUAACAAGCCUUAAUGUUGUAUCCUUGUCCCUGAGCAUCGUCUUCAUCAUGAGAAUGGAUUGAGUUUAUUGACAAUGCCGAACCGUCAUUCACAACUUUAUUUUUCUCCUUGAAUCUAGCUCUUUGGAUCUCCAGUCUGCUAGAUAGAGUUACCGCCAUGAUGACUUGUCCUAAGCCGUAAAUUCAUUCUCUUAGAUGAUCUUUUAACUUUCUCUCUAGUUAUGCCUUUUUGUAAGUGGAUCCGACACAUUAUCCUUUGACUUUACAUAGUCAAUUCUGAUAAUUCCACUAGAGAGUAGUUUUCUAACAGUAUCAUGUAUAUGUCGUAUAUGACGAGACUUUCCGUUAUACGUCAUGUUCCAUGCCCUACCUAUUGCAUCUUGACUGUGAAAGUGUAUGCAUACUAAUGCCAAUGGUUUGGGCCAAAAUAGAAUAUCUAUCAAGAAAUUCCGGAGUCUUUUAACUUAUUCACCGACCUUAUCUAGAGCACCUAGCUCAAAGAUCAUUGUAGAGCUAGCGAUACAUGUCUCUUUUGAAAUAUUUCUAAGAGACUACUCCUCUAACAAUAGUAAAUACAUAUCCACUUGUGAAUUUUACUUCAUUCUUCCGAUGAUUCAAUUUGCAUCACUAUAUCUUUCAAUAUUGUUGGAUAUUGUUAUAAUGCAAGACAUAGUUUUAAGUAUUAUUUUAAAUACUCCAAAACUCUAUUUAUUGUCAUCUUAUGAAUUUAUUUGGGAUCACUUCUGAACGGACUCAGUUUAAAAUAGCAAAUGCUAUAUCUGGUCGCACACACUACAUGCUUCCCAAAAAUCUUGCACAAUCCAAUUGUGAGUCACUUUUGUUUUCACUCUUUUGAAAUGCAAAGCUCACAUUUAUUGGACACUUGACAAUAUUGAUAUUCAAAUAUUUGAACUAGUUAAGUACCUUUUCAAUGCAAUGAGACCGUGAAAAUGCUAAACAUUAUGGAGUUCUACGAAUUCUUAAAUCUAAGAUCGCAUUAGCAACUCCAAUAAUUUUCAUUCCACUUGCUUUAUAGCAUACUUUAGUAGCAUUUAUGUCAUUAGUGUCUCUAUUGAUGAUCAACAUAUCACCAAUAUACAAACAAACAGUGACCUUAUGAUUUUAAUGUGAACACAUUUAUCACUUCCAUCAUUCUUCAAUCCAUUUGCCAACAUGGUUUGAUUGAAUUAUGUCAUUGUUUUGGUGCUUCCAUAAUGUGACUUAACAAGUUCACAUACUUUCUUUUAUUUACCAGGUACCACAAAACCCUCGGGUUGUUCCAUGUAAUUUCUUCCUCCAAUUCUACAUUUAAGAAAGUUCUUUUCACAUUCAUUUGAUGAAUUUGGAGGUCAUAUACUACAGUAAUAAUUUUGCAUCCGAAUGGAUGUAAUUCUAAUUACUAACGAGUAUAUAUAUCGAUAAGAUCAAAAUUUUAUUUUUUUUAAAGCCUUUGACACAAAGUCUUGCUUUAUAUUUUUCAACAGUUCUAUCAACUAUUAUUUUUCCUUCUAAAGAUUCAUUUUGAACCCAAAGGUUUAUUUCUUUGAAGAAGAUCAAUUAACUUUCAAUAUUGUUUAUUGACACCAUCUUUCCAAAGGACGAGUCUACAGAAGACACAGAAAAUGUUACAAAAUCAUAUUCGAAGGAAGUAAAUGUCCUUUAACAUUUUACUAAGCCUCUGAAUCUCUUUAUUAUGUACAUUAUCCUUUUCAUUUCCUAGGCCUUUUAGACCCUUCUCUAGACUACUCAAGUCUAAUUUUACAGUCCACAGUCAUAGGUCCUAUUUUAAUUCUUUUAGGAAUAGGAUCUUGGACUUUGACUAGAUACCCCCACACUUUGAAAUAUUUCAAGUUGUAUUUCCUUUCUUUCCAUUUCUCAUAUGGAAAAAAUCAUAUUCUGAUCAAACAAAAUCGCUUUCUUUCUAAAAAGACAAAAUUUUUAUUGAUCCCUUUUGCAGUAAGGAUAGUUCCUCCACACAAAUUUUGUGUAAAAUCGAACUUAUAAAUUAUGCAUCCAUAAUUUCUUUCAACGUUCGGUUUUUCAUUAGAUUGAGGUGAAUAUGGCAGUAGUUUGAUAUUUCACUGCACAAUGAGAUUUAUACUCUCCAUUCUUAUCACUUCUUAUAUAAUUUUUUCACACUGAUUUUCAACUUCGAUAUUACAUUGUCUAGACAUUUCUAUUGCUUCAUCCUUACCAUUUAGCAAAUAGACAUAGUCAUUUCUAAUGCAAUUCUCAAUAAAAGUAACAAAUACUUUUUCCCACCAUGAGAUGGUGUUAACUUCAUAUCAUAAAUUUCAGUGUAAAUCAAUUCUAAGAGAUUAAAAUUCCUUUCAACAGAUUUAUAAGAAUGCUCAACAUACUUAGAUUCCACAAAAACUUGACAAUUUUAUUUAUUGCACUCAAAGUUAAGCAAAACUUCUAAGUUGAUCAGUUUUUCUUACAAGGUUUUGUAAUUGACAUGCCCCAAGUGUUCAUGUCACAAACAUUGACUCAAGCAAGUAAGAACAAAUAAAAACUUUGAGUUUGAAAAGCUCUUCGCGAGGUAGCUUUUUCCUCACUAAUAUUUUGUUCUUAUUUCUUACAAUUUUGUGUGAUAUAAACAUUGUUUAGAUUGUCAAAUAUCCUUUUCAGAAGGACAUUUUCCAUAACUUUCAAUGUGAUUGUUAAAGAACUACCUAUGAACAAAGUUUCAUUGGGUUCAAUAAAGACAAUAUAGUCCAACUGUUAUUUUUACAAAAAACAUAACAAAUGACUAUUCACCAAUAUUCAUGUCUAUGCAAAUACUUUUAUUAUAAUAGACAUAUCUUUUCAUGAAAAAUCACAACAUUUUAAGUGAUUUUUUUUUCCAUAAAAGAACACAAUUAUUUUGAACAAGUAUAUAUAUAAUUUGGAUGUUUCAUACUAGUCACACUAUAUACUAGUAAUAGAGAAACUCAACAACCACAAUAUCAAAUAUACUCCAAGAAUUUUGUGGGUAUAACAUAAUACAAAAGUAUCAUUAAAUUUCAUAUCUUUUGCUCCAAAGUUAAAUUAGACACCAAGUCUAAUCAUAAGCAAAUAACCCCCACAUUUCAAAUGUGAUCUCAAAAAUAUUUUUCAAGUAUUUGAAAAUAGUUUUUCCACAUAUUUUAAUGUUGGAAACAUUAUUCUACGAAAGAAUUAUAGUGCUGCAAUUCUCUUUGGCAAUGUUUACACAAUGUCAAUGUUCAUUCCAUAGAAAUACAAAAUCACAAAUUCUAAUUCACUGGUAUUUUUUCUCUAUCAUAAAUAGACAUACCACUUAGUAUUUUAAAUACUAACAAUAAGGACAAAAAGAAAUUGUACAAUUUAUUUCUAUAUUAUAUUGAAGUUUAUAGAAAAUCAAAAGUACAACAUUGACUUAUUAUGUGAAGUUUUUAUAUUCUUCAAAUCAAUUGCAUAGUCCAAUUUAUCCAGAGUAUAAAACUACAAAAGUUUUUAGUCUACAAAAAUCAGACAUAUUAACAUUUCUCAUGGAGUACAAAACUACAAAAAAAAAUUUCCCCCCAAACAGAAUAACACAUAUUCUUUAUCACAUAAAAAUGUUUUUCUUAUCAAAUAGUCUUCCAACUAUAACAUUUUGACAUACUAUUUUAUCAAAUAAAAAAUAUGUAUUUUUGCAAACUAAAGAAUUUUAAAAGCAACAAUAUUUGCGAAGUAAAAUUCAUACCACAACAUAUGGUUUGCAGAUCUUUUUCCAAAGAUACACAUAAUAAAAAAAAAUUAAAAACCAAAGAUGAUAACUCUUAGAAACUAUUUUCCUCCUUAGAUAAUUUAAUAAGAAGGUUACCUGGUAAUCUUUAAACAGAAUACCAUAAAAAAAAAAAAUUGUUACAUUCUCACUUCGACCUUGCUAAACAAAGCAACGAAUUAUGAAGAAGUAAUGCAUUUAUCUUCUACUUCCAUAAUAAGAUUCUCUCAAUGAGUAGAAUACAAAAAUACUAACAGUAUAAUAAUUUCCUUAAGAUUGUUACUGUGAAUUCAGUGGACUUGAUCUUUUUCCUAUUAAAAAUUUUCAGAUUCUGAUACGUGUUUUACAAAUUUUAGAUUUGUGAAUUAAUUUCAGUUCUUCUAUUCUUCUGUUCUUCACUGGUUCAUUAAACUUGGUAACUUCGUGUUUCUGCAAAGUUUGUUGGAAUCAGUAAGGUUCUUUAGACACAUAUUAAAAACAAUUCCUCUUUAAGAAAAAUAUUUCGUAUAUUUUUUUUAAAAAAUCUGUUUCUGAUACUAGUUUUGCUACUAGUUUUAAUUUUCUAGUUGUGAAAAUGUUCUUAAACUUUGUUUUCUUACAAAGAUGUUCAAAGUUUUGUUCUAAGUAUGUUUGGAAUACAAGAUGAACAACACAUCUCUCAUCUGUUGAUCAAACAUAUAAUUAUUUAUAUUAGAAAAGCCAAAUAAAUCUUUGAUAAUAUCAUCAAAUAUGAUGAUCAACAUUCUUAAGAGGAAAGAAAAAGUGUUUCUUAUAAAUGGUGAAGUCAAGAAGGCAAUGCGACUAACCUUUUUAGCAUCGAUUUGCAGCAAGUACAAAUCAUCCUUAACAUUCAAGAAGAAGUUCAGCAAAGUUGAUUGAACCUGCAAGUUCCAAAUUUUCAAGUCAGAGUGACCACAAACAAACUCAGUUAAAUAAAAUUUCGAAAUUAAUUUUUUUUUAUAAAAACAAAUUUAAUUUUUUUUGGUCGGGAUGGAGGGAUGAUCGGGGUCGGGUGGAGGGUGAAGUGAAAAUAUAAAAUUUUGAAAUUGAAAAUACUUUUAGAAAUUGAUGGGUUUUUUUUUAAAAAAAAAUGUAAUUUAAAGUAGGACGAGAGUUCUGAGAAAAUGUUUUCCUUAACUUUUGAAGGGAAGUCAUUUUCCUUUGAGGUAAAUGAGUUAAUUUGAAAAAUAUUUUUCAAAACUUUUAUCCCAACCAAACAUGAGAAAAUUAAUUGUUCUCUAAAAUAUGCUAAGUUGCAACUAAAAUAUUCAAUUGGAUUAUUUUUUCCACAAUACGUUAAGCAUAUCUAACAACAAUUGAACUAUUGAUUCCUUACAUGAUUUAAGUAUAAAUUCCUAAAGAUAAGCCCUCUUUUCUUCUUUUUCUUUUUCCCGUCAGGAGUUUUGAUUUUGGGUGAUUGUUGAGACCACAAAUGCUAAAUCAUGAAAGUAUUCCCUACUUCUUUAACUUGCAUGUCAUAAUGAUUUUACAUACUUUUCAAGAGAAGAAAACUUGCAAUUUUAUUAAUUAGGAGUUCAAAACAUAAAGUGCUUUAUAACAGGUGCUUCCCAAAGUAAAGGAAAUAGAUAAAUGAGCAACUGAGGCAAUAAGAACUUGAAAACUAUAUAUCAAGUUCGAGGUAUAGUCUCAUGCAGGUGAUUUAUUAAUCAACAAACAAGUAGCUCGAGACUAAUCUAAAGUUCUCUUGCAUUCACUUGGUUAAAACUAGACACUAAUUCAUGAUUAAACAUGAAAAAUAGGGGAAUCCAACACAAUUUUCCUUGAUAAGUUACUCCUCAAGUGUUGGUCGGUGUACAUUUUUCUAUAACUUUUGUCAACUGGAUAAUGACUUGCUUAAAAGUGUGUCAUAUUCCAUUGUGAUAAAUGGGAAGCCUACUUCUCCCUUCCUUGCCAAUAAGGGGAUCCUCUAUCUCCAUUGUUCUUUCUUAGUCAUGGAGUCUCUAACCAAAUCCUUAAAUGAAUUGAAAUUGCAGCCAGGCUUCAAGUAUCAACCAAGAUGUGAUAGAUUGAACAUCAUAUAACUGGGUUUGCUGAUGACCUCCUAUCAUUUUGUAGGGGUGAUGUGGUACCAGUGCAGCUAUUGUUUGACAAGUUUCAGAACUUUUCUAUAUCAUCUGAAUUAAAUGCCAAUCUUGAUAAAAGUUAAGUGUUCUUUGGAGUGUAUGAAACGAUAGUGCACAGCACUACAUGCUUUUUCAUGCAAGAAGAAGUUCAGAAAACAAUAGAGAAGGAUAUAGAAAUCUAAAGAAAAGAAGAAACAGUAAUAUGAGGAUGAAAACCUCAAGACCAAGAAAUUACUCCAGUAAGUAAAAAAAUGGAACUAUAUUGAACUUUCUCUGAUGUCUUUCUCAACCCUCGCACAAGUUAGCUUACAUGCGCAAUGGGAAAGAGAGCUCGAAUUCCAUCUCAAAAGGCUCUAACCGCUAAUGAGAAUGCAUACAAGGGAAAUAGAAGAGGACAGAAGGGUAAACAAUCUUCAAAGGUAGCACUGGUAGAGACAUUUUUUUUUU
rnacentral:lncRNA from 1 species